CUCAGGACGAACGCUGGCGGCGUGCUUAACACAUGCAAGUCGAACGAGAAUCUACUGAAAGAGUUUUCGGACAAUGGAAGUAGAGGAAAGUGGCGGACGGGUGAGUAACGCGUGAGGAACCUGCCUUGAAGAGGGGGACAACAGUUGGAAACGACUGCUAAUACCGCAUGACGCAUAGAGGUCGCAUGAUCUUUAUGCCAAAGAUUUAUCGCUUCAAGAUGGCCUCGCGUCUGAUUAGCUGGUUGGCGGGGUAACGGCCCACCAAGGCGACGAUCAGUAGCCGGACUGAGAGGUUGAACGGCCACAUUGGGACUGAGAUACGGCCCAGACUCCUACGGGAGGCAGCAGUGGGGAAUAUUGGGCAAUGGGCGCAAGCCUGACCCAGCAACGCCGCGUGAAGGAAGAAGGCUUUCGGGUUGUAAACUUCUUUUACCAGGGACGAAGGACGUGACGGUACCUGGAGAAAAAGCCACGGCUAACUACGUGCCAGCAGCCGCGGUAAUACGUAGGUGGCAAGCGUUGUCCGGAUUUACUGGGUGUAAAGGGCGUGUAGCCGGGAAGGCAAGUCAGAUGUGAAAUCCACGGGCUCAACUCGUGAACUGCAUUUGAAACUGUUUUUCUUGAGUAUCGGAGAGGCAAUCGGAAUUCCUAGUGUAGCGGUGAAAUGCGUAGAUAUUAGGAGGAACACCAGUGGCGAAGGCGGAUUGCUGGACGAUAACUGACGGUGAGGCGCGAAAGUGUGGGGAGCAAACAGGAUUAGAUACCCUGGUAGUCCACACUGUAAACGAUGAAUACUAGGUGUGCGGGGACUGACCCCCUGCGUGCCGCAGUAAACACAAUAAGUAUUCCACCUGGGGAGUACGAUCGCAAGGUUGAAACUCAAAGGAAUUGACGGGGGCCCGCACAAGCGGUGGAUUAUGUGGUUUAAUUCGAAGCAACGCGAAGAACCUUACCAGGGUUUGACAUCCUGCUAACGAAGUAGAGAUACAUUAGGUGCCCUUCGGGGAAAGCAGAGACAGGUGGUGCAUGGUUGUCGUCAGCUCGUGUCGUGAGAUGUUGGGUUAAGUCCCGCAACGAGCGCAACCCCUAUUGUUAGUUGCUACGCAAGAGCACUCUAGCGAGACUGCCGUUGACAAAACGGAGGAAGGUGGGGACGACGUCAAAUCAUCAUGCCCCUUAUGUCCUGGGCUACACACGUAAUACAAUGGCGGUCAACAGAGGGAAGCAAAGCCGCGAGGCAGAGCAAACCCCCAAAAGCCGUCCCAGUUCGGAUUGUAGGCUGCAACUCGCCUGCAUGAAGUCGGAAUCGCUAGUAAUCGCGGAUCAGCAUGCCGCGGUGAAUACG
rnacentral:rRNA from 1 species